rnacentral:rRNA from 1 species
AUACAACUUUUGACAACGGAUCUCUUGGUUCUCCCAUCGAUGAAGAACGCAGCGAAUUGCGAUAAGUAAUGUGAAUUGCAGAAUUCAGUGAAUCAUCGAAUCUUUGAACGCACCUUGCGCCUUUGGGUAUUCUCAAAGGCAUGCCUGUUUGAGUGUCAUAA